rnacentral:tRNA from 1 species
AGCUCUGUGGCUGAGUGGUAAAGCGCUUGGCUUCCGAACCGAGGGGUCCCAGGUUCGAAUCCUGGUGAAGAUU